rnacentral:pre_miRNA from 1 species
UUUCUACUCCCUUCGUCCAAAAAUAUUUGUCAUCAAAAUGGAUAAAAAGAGAUGUAUCUAAAACUAAAAUACGUCUAGAUACAUUUCCUUUUAUCCAUUUUGAUGACAAGUAUUUCCGGACGGAGGGAGUAUUUG